GGCGCGCGGGCGGCGGUUGGAGGAGCUGGCCUUCCCCUCCCGCGAGUGACGAGGCGGAGUCUGCGGUUGGGCGGAGGGCGUUGCUGAGGGCCCCUCCCCUUGUUGUGGUCCUCUCCAUCCGCCUGGAUGAAGCCGCCCUGAGCGCGCGGGGGGGGGACUGGAUCCCUGGGGGACAAGUUCGGGGUUUGGAGCCGGGAAGUCCUGCAGCAGAGGUGGCCGGGGAGGGGGCUGCCCGGUGACUGCAUCUCCCUUCCCCUGGCAUAGCGGGGGCCACGAGAGAGGGAAGUCCCCCCCCCAGGCCCUGAGAGGUUCUGUUAUCUACCUGGAACAUAUUGAGGGACGAGAACAAAUGGAACUACAGGGCUCUAUGAACAUCUAGAGAAACAAUAUAGGUAAUUAUAUAUCUUUUAUUUUAACAACAAGCUAUGCUCAAAUAACAUUGUGAGGGAUCCCCCCAG
rnacentral:lncRNA from 1 species